CUCCCAAACCCCUGUGAACAUACCUAUACGUUGCCUCGGCGGAUCAGCCCGCGCCCCGUAAAACGGGACGGCCCGCCCGAGGACCCUAAACUCUGUUUUUAGUGGAACUUCUGAGUAAAACAAACAAAUAAAUCAAAACUUUCAACAACGGAUCUCUUGGUUCUGGCAUCGAUGAAGAACGCAGCAAAAUGCGAUAAGUAAUGUGAAUUGCAGAAUUCAGUGAAUCAUCGAAUCUUUGAACGCACAUUGCGCCCGCCAGUAUUCUGGCGGGCAUGCCUGUUCGAGCGUCAUUUCAACCCUCAAGCUCAGCUUGGUGUUGGGACUCGCGGUAACCCGCGUUCCCCAAAUCGAUUGGCGGUCACGUCGAGCUUCCAUAGCGUAGUAAUAAUACACCUCGUUACUGGUAAUCGUCGCGGCCACGCCGUAAAACCCCAACUUCUGAAUGUUGACCUCGGAUCAGGUAGGAAUACCCGCUGAACUUAAGCAUAUCAA
rnacentral:rRNA from 1 species